rnacentral:rRNA from 1 species
GACGAACGCUGGCGGCGUGCUUAACACAUGCAAGUCGAACGGAAAGGCCCUGCUUGUGUGGGGUGCUCGAGUGGCGAACGGGUGAGUAACACGUGAGUAACCUGCCCUUGACUUUGGUAUAACUUCAGGAAACUGGGUCUAAUACCGGAUAGCAGCUCCUUCUGCAUGGUGGUGGUUGGAAAGGUUCGGCGGUUGGGGAUGGACUCGCGGCUUAUCAGCUUGUUGGUGGGGUAGUGGCUUACCAAGGCUUUGACGGGUAGCCGGCCUGAGAGGGUGACCGGCCACAUUGGGACUGAGAUACGGCCCAGACUCCUACGGGAGGCAGCAGUGGGGAAUAUUGCACAAUGGGCGGAAGCCUGAUGCAGCAACGCCGCGUGCGGGAUGACGGCCUUCGGGUUGUAAACCGCUUUCGCCUGUGACGAAGCGUGAGUGACGGUAAUGGGUAAAGAAGCACCGGCUAACUACGUG